UCGCCGCACGCGCUCUGGUCUCGAAAGAAAAAAAGGAAAAACAAUCUACCCUAAUCGCGCCCCGCCGCCCGCUCCCAACCCUUAACCCUAAUCGCCGCCCGCCGCCGCCGGGACAGCGACGCCCGCAGCCCUCCCUCACUCUCGUCCGCACCGCCGCCCGCGCUGAUCUCCUCCGUGCCACUGCCGGAACACCCACGCCCACACCACGGCACCACCAAUCGAUUCCCCGCCGCGGCCGUUCUCUUCCGCCCGCCUGGCCGGUCUCCUUCGUGCCACCACCGAUCUCCGCCGACACGCUGCUGUCCCCUCCUCCGGAAGCUCCACCGCUGCCCCACGCGGAUCAACAGGCUGUUGUCCCUGGCGCCGGAAGCUCCACCACUGCUGCCCCUCUGUGUCGCACUCAAACUGUUCCUUCGCCACCAAAAGGGUCAUGCAUGGUGGAUGUAUGUAUGGUUUCAGUUCAUGAUUUUGGAUGAAUAAAUUAAGUUUAGGUUCUUUAUUGUAGCCUUGUCUCAUGCAUGAGUGGGGAUCAUGGGGUCUCGCUCCAAUGGUGCUUCAAACAGCAUAUGUAGGGGGUUAUUUUUGCCCUUAUUUUUUUUAAUCUUCCUUCCUCUUUGUGUAAAAAUGUAAGAUACGUCUCAAAAUAUAUUGUUUCUAUUUGGUCAUCAGCCUUUCCCUUGUUUGCUAAACGAAUAGUAUGUCAUCAGCCUCGCCGUGUCAUCUCGAUGGCUUGCAUAUAUACGAGGAUGCGGGAAGGGCCUGUUACUGUAGGGGUGCCAUAAUUGGAUUGGAUUUCUUUUACCUUUACAGAACAAUAUUUUUGAACAAAAGGAAUAUUACUUUAUUUUGAUAUCAUCUUUUCUUGUAUUGUAGGUUUUGGAUUCUCAAACUCGUAGCGUUUGUUGUCUACGUUUGGACGAAGCGUCGCUCAUCUUUUCAUUUUAUUCUUGCCUCUGAAGAUAGGUACUGUGCCAAUGAAGAUACAUGUUUGUGUGCUAGCUAAAUCACGCUUAUGCAUUUAUGCAUGGUUAAUUACAUUGUUUGCUCUGUUAAUCUACACAACCUGAUGGCAUUCUCUGCAAUCUUAAGGGAUUUAUAGUUUUAUGCAUGAUUAUGCUUUUCAGAUCUUUAGUAAAAAAUGCUCGCCAGGGAUUUAAUAAGAAAUGCUGGAGCACUAAUUGAUCCUCUGCUCCAUUUGAUCAAAUAGUACUGUCCAUUUAUGCCUACACUUUUCUGAUCUCAUAGUAUUGUGUCAAAUAAAUUUGAUAUGUAGCUUUGGUGUCCUUAAAUGGCAUGGUUGUUUUAUACGUCCCUGUGAUUUUCCAUGUCAUGAUUUGUUGUUACCAUUUCAUUGAAUGCUUUGCUGUUAAUGAUCGCUUAACAAUCAGUAGGCUCCGUUGGAUUUGUGCGGACUCAUAAAGAAGAGGUGCUUGUGUUUGCUGGUUCAUCAAACAGCUCCAUCAAAGCGGUAGGGCGUGGGAUAAGCCAAAGGUUUGGCUGUGCUGCUACUACUACUAACAUCCAUUGACAUUCACUAUUUUGAAGAUCAAUAGUACUAUUUUUAUUUUCGGAUCAGCGGUAGGGUUCUGGACUUAAAUUGCCGAUCAAAUGAUUUGCGGAUGCAAAUAAUGAAUUUCCAUAUGUAGACCUGUAGUGGGCCGUAUGAUAAUAAUAUAUUUGGUAUAUUGCAGAAAUGGCUUUGUAGUAAAAAUUGCUCAUAUAAUUAAGUUGUCAAAUUAUGUGCACCGACAAUACACCUGAUUUAUCUACAAUAACAGGUAAUGCCUGAUUUGUCUACAAUAACAGGUAAUGAUGUGCCGAAUUGCUCUUCAGAUUCUUCAUCCGAUGUUAUCAUGUUUUUGUCAAGUGAAUAAACUAAAACUGUAUGACAACAGUUACGUGUUGAAUCAACUAAAUUUCUGACAGUAGAUGUUCUUAAGUGCACAACCUAAAAUUUCUUUAAUUCAUAAGAACAUGUAACCACAUUAGGUAUAAAGUUUGCAAGAUAUCAAUCUUGAUGGCCUGUUGCUGCUAGGUGUAUGCAUUAAUUCUGGUGCGCUGGAUGUAGUUUGCUUGCCUCUAGGAUUAUAUGAUAAGUUAGAUGUAUUUUGUUGGCCUGCUGGAUGUAUGCAUUCAGCUCCUGACUUAUUCUUGAUUUAUUUGUGCAUGCCGGAUCCAUGGAAGUAUCAACCCACUAAAGUCUGAACUCUGAAAUAAGGCUUUUGGUAUACUGUGGCCUAUAUAUUCUGCACGUCAUAGAGCUUUCAUGUCACAAUAUAUGUGCAGGUUAGCACUGGAUGGAAAUUAAUACCUCAUUUGUUUUCUAUCUUUUCAACAACUUUGCUCAGGGUUGGUAUAAAUCACCACUUAAGCAACUUUGUGAUGGCAUCCAUCUAGCCCUAUGGCAGUUACAUAGAGGAAUAACGAUGCAUUUAUCUGCUUAUCUUAUGUAAGUGAAACGAUCUGGUGGGUACAAAUGAUUAUAUGAUUAUGUUAUUCUCCAAGUCAAUAUCUUGGAUGAUCUUAUGCUGCUUUUAGUCUGCAGGCUUCGGGGAAGGUUGAGUAUUCAAGCCGUGGUCAAGAGAUUUUUUUUUUUUUGUGCUUAUAUUGUUUGACAAAAUAGAUAUUUGGUUGUAGUGCUGACAAAAAUGUUUGAUAUAGCAUUUUCUUGAUUCAUGUAGAUUGACAAUUGAUUUCACAAGUAAAUGAAAUAGUAUAUGUUUUAGACAUUUAGUACACACGCUAUUAUCUACUGAGGAGGUGUUUUCACAGCUUAUCUACAAUGACUCCAAUUUUAAAUUCAACAUUAUAGCUACUAUGCUAGAUUAAAGAGGGUAGUGAAUAUCUGCUCAGAAAUAUUUUUGUAUACUCGUUUUUAUUUUAUGCCGAAAUUUUUGUAUUGAUGUCUCACUGAAAUUGUUUAUAUAUAGGAAUCAUAUAUUUAUUUUCACUAUGAAUUCCUUGAUUUAUCCUGCACUUUCUUCAGAAAUUUGGGUCUAAUACUCUAAUUUCUUUUGAAUCCUACUGUUACUUGGGCACUGUUGAGAAGGGAGGGUGUUGGAACUGCCAUGGAGGCCGAGCUCCAAGCGGUCUACGCGUAUUCAUUGCCAAGAUCGGUCUCAAGCUGCAAUUGUGGAGGUUUACAUAUUAACUACCAUCCUACGGGCCUGUUAGGUGUUGUAUCAAUAGUUUUUUUAGUUAACCCAAAUGUCAGGACUGAUUGAUUAUGUAAAACUAAAUUAUUUUUAGCUUUGUUUUGUCAGUGCUAAAUAUGGUGAUUGAUGCGAUCCGUAACUUUGGUUAUUGCAAUGUAAGAUAGCAAUUGAUAUAUGGAGACAAUAUAUAAUGCAUAUACAAAAUUAGAUUUUUGCG